rnacentral:tRNA from 1 species
GGUUGAUUAGUUUAAGUAAAACAGAAGCUUUGUAAGUUUAUAAUCUAUAGAUUA